AUAGGGAUUUUUGCAUUCCUUUUCCGCUUGAAUCCCGGCCAAAAAAAAAUCUGAAUUGACCAAUGUAUUUCAACAUGUAUAGAGCAUUCACGCUGUAAAUUUCAAACAAUUUUGCGCAAAGACUAUGGAAGAAUAUACAAAAGUUUGUGGCGAACAUUGUCUGAAAAUUUACAUGGUACUACACAAGCUGGAAUACAUUUCCGAAAUUUUAGAGUAUGGGACUAGAGAGAUCCGAAAAAUAAAAACAGCAAAGUCAAAAAAAAAGAGCGAUAAUGGGAGCUUAGGAAACCCAUUUAAUUCAAAUCAAGACCUGAAGAGGUACCAUUUGCACGACCCGGAUUUUUUAAAAAAAGUGCCGAACUUCUGUUAGGGCCAGGCAUGCAGGUCUCUGAUUCAAAAUAAUUCUAACCUUUAUUUGUAGAGUGGGAAAUCACGAAAAAAUUUUAUA